rnacentral:lncRNA from 1 species
CUGGGCUAGAGGCGGGUCUCCACCAGCGACUCAUCGGAGGCGGGCUUGAGAGCAGCUGCAGGGGAGGCGCGCAGGAGCCUCGGCGGCGGCGGCGGCGGCGGCGGCGGCGGCGGCGGCGGCGGCCGAACCGACAGAGUCGGACCCGACACCAAAACCGAGCCCUGUAAUUGGAUGGGCUUAUUUGAUACAUGUUUGUUGGUGUUGGGCAUUCUUCAUAAUAAGAGUGGGUAUUUUUUAUUGGGAUUCAAAGGGUAGUGUGUCUGAAUAGCUGGAACUCCACUAGUGUUUUAUCUGUGAAUUUUCCCCUUCUAAAAUAAUGUAUGAAGUUUACCAGUACGUGUAUAGAACAGAAAGAACAAAAUGGAAAUUUGCUGCCUUAAGUCAUUGUUGGGGUGGGAUGGGUCUAAAUAAAUAGCAUUUA